rnacentral:rRNA from 1 species
UACGUAGGGCGCAAGCGUUAUCCGGAAUUAUUGGGCGUAAAGAGCUCGUAGGCGGUUUGUCGCGUCUGCCGUGAAAGUCCGGGGUUCAACUCCGGAUCUGCGGUGGGUACGGGCAGACUAGAGUGAUGUAGGGGAGACUGGAAUUCCUGGUGUAGCGGUGAAAUGCGCAGAUAUCAGGAGGAACACCGGUGGCGAAGGCGGGUCUCUGGGCCGAUACUGACGCUGAGGAGCGAAAGCGUGGGGAGCGAACAGG